AUUGAACGCUGGCGGAAUGCUUUACACAUGCAAGUCGAACGGCAGCACGGACUUCGGUCUGGUGGCGAGUGGCGAACGGGUGAGUAAUACAUCGGAACGUGCCCAGUCGAGGGGGAUAACGUAGCGAAAGCUACGCUAAUACCGCAUACGAUCUACGGAUGAAAGCGGGGGAUCGCAAGACCUCGCGCGAUUGGAGCGGCCGAUGGCAGAUUAGGUAGUUGGUGGGGUAAAGGCUCACCAAGCCGACGAUCUGUAGCUGGUCUGAGAGGACGACCAGCCACACUGGGACAGAGACACGGACCAGACUCCUACGGGAGGCAGCAGUGGGGAAGUUUGGACAAUGGGCGCAAGCCUGAUCCAGCCAUUCCGCGUGGAGGAUGAAGGCCCUCGGGUUGUAAACUGCUUUUGUACGGAACGAAAAGGCUCUGGUUAAUACCCGGGGCUCAUGACGGUACCGUAAGAAUAAGCACCGGCUAACUACGUGCCAGCCGCCGCCGUAA
rnacentral:rRNA from 1 species